CUCCCUCUGUGUAAGUGGCUACCCUUCGCCGCAGGUUAUGGUAGUGUGUUUGUCUUCUUUGGGCAAGUGACCGUGACCAAGCUGAAGACACAGUCCAACAUUUCGUGAUGGACUCUCCGAUAUAUUGUGGACAAUAUUUUGACAUUGGCUCGAAGGCACGACCCAUUGUAAACGUCACCGGAAAAUAAAACCCAACACGUAGACAACCCAAUGGACAAAAAGGCCGUCUUUGGGUCAGAGCUCUCACUCUGGACGAACCGAGGGCUAGGGUCACUCUCGAACGAUCUCUCGAGUGAACCACAUGGGAUUAUCACCACAGCUAGUUUUAUCUCGAGUCUUUCUCUAAAAUCUCAUAUGUUAAAGACCGAAUGAAGUUCGUGUCAUAUAAUUAAAUAAUGGGAGAUAUUUAAUGCUUCCAGAUCACUAGUGGGAUAUAUCCAAAAAUACGUGUUUAUCAAAAUAAUCCUGAGAAUAAUUGAAGUGAAAUUCGCAGCAAUUGAACGAAGACAUCCGUGACUAGCACUAGUAAUAUUGAAACUAUUCAAGUGUUAAGUUGACUGUUAACUGGUACGCCUGUGUUUGGAUAACAAUGGCCAACACAUCGACUUCCCGGAAAUGACAUUACAACGAGGUUUUGCAAAAUAAAGGGGGUCAAUCGUAACCUGACGACCAGCAAAGCAGAUCCUAUACUCCAGGUGAUCCACCUGGUAGAAGUAGUGGGCAUAACAAUGCUAUACACAAUGAUGGUACUUCCGUGUCUCGUGAGUUAGAUUAUGCGAGACGGUUGAGAACCAUAGACAAUUUGAGAGCAACGGGUUCAAGUACGUCAAUUAAUUUUGCUCAUGAAAAAGUACUACCAUUUUUUCAUCCACGAAAUAAACAACUAUUAACAAGUGACUGGCUGAGAAAGGUCGAAAUGAAUGCGAUGAUGUACGGUUGGGAUGAUAUGCAAAAAAUGUGUUUCGCAUAAUUAAAGUUAAGUGGCAUUGCUAGACUAGAUUACGUGGUCAGAAUUUAAAAGUAUGGUGUUCCGUCAGUUUUCACAGGAUAAAAAUUUCGGUUACUGAGCUCAGCGGCGGCAGGGUAGGGAGGUCGCCAUAUUGUAUCCAACAGCUGACCGUUUGCAUUUUGAGGCAUGGCGAAAAACUACUCCGAAACAACUUCUUUCCAAUCAAACUCACGAUCUCAUCUACAGGAGCAGGGCGCAAAUAUUGUUAUCUCUUCGUGACACUGACGUAUGUUAUUCUACUGAGAAAAUGUGGAAUGACAUUCCAAUAUUAGAAAUCGAAGUAUGUGGUACACCAGCCGAUGUUUGGAGGAAUUGUCUUUUUAAUGAACCGAGCCAAUGGAAAAAGUAUGAUUUUACUUGUGGGAGCUAUAUGCAACCCAUUUCGAUCUUGGAGCCGAAUAUUCCUAAACCAUUGAUCACAUCAAACAAGUAACUUUUACCUCUGGAGUUUCAUAAAGUUUUAAAAAAGGUGCAAUGUCGCCGACCUCUUUGUAGCAGCAGAUGCAAUGUAGAGACAACCCAAUUUUCAUCUAUUCAUUCAUUUGAAGCGAUCAAUUAAGUGUUUGCUGGGGAAUGUAUUUAAAAUGAUUGAAAUGGGCGAUCAGUAUCAAAUUGCUGGGGUCACCAGUGCAUUUCAUGACCGAUACGUGGCCUUUUGUUUAGUGAAUGGAAAGUGGUGGUUGUACGACAACCAGCAGCCAAACAUCCAAAUGACAUCAGAUGUAGAAUUCGUUGAACUGGUUGGAUUAGUUUAUAUUUUAAAAAGUACAAUGAGUUGCUAAGCAUGUUAAAAAAAAUAUCACUUACCAAAGUUAUUCUAUCAAAGAUGAAUAUUUAUUUGUUUUCCAAUAAAAAAAUAUAAUGAUUAGAAAAUUUAUUCAAGUCUUAUCUUUUAAAUAAAGAAAAAUUCUCAUCUAGUUUACUACUGGGAAAGAUCUUCAGCAAAAUUCAUCAACUAUGAAUCCUCUCGAGCUCCCCAGAUGCAAAAUGCUCAAAAGACUUGACAUAUAAUCUGUAAGAAAUAGGCAGCAUGUGAAAAUAAUUAUCUAUUCGUCGAUCAGCCACUUCACAGCUUUCUGAUAUCAAGCAAUAUUGCAAUUUUAUACUACAAAUGAAAAUCAAAGUCUAAAAAUGACGGAAAAAUUAGAACGUCAAUGAAAAAUAAUUGGUAAUGAACAAGUAUACAGGCUUAUCGUUGAUCCAUUUUUAGUGGCUUUUCGAAUAAUCCAUUUCAUUCAAUCGGUUGCCAUGCAAACCGGUUAUGAAUUAAAUAAACAUAAUAGAAAAUUAGAAGCAUAGAGAUGUGAAUAACAUUCUGCUACGCAUAAAAAUGGCAGCAGCAAUCAGCUGUUGGAUGCAAUAUGGCGACCUCCCUACCCUGCCGCCGCUGAGCUCACUAACCUCAAAAUGAUUUUUAAUCAAUAAUUCAUAAUUAGUGUUCUGUAGGGGAUUGAUGGUCAUCUAUCAAUCACCUGCAAACGAUUCUCGAUCGUUUGAGCGGUCAUUCAACAUUCUAGGGCCAAAUUAAAAAAAAAAAGAUGAUAACUUCCGUAGAAAUAUUUCAUUUUUUUGAAAAAUUCAUUUUAAAAAAACGAUGAUCGAUCAAACAAUAAUUCUUAUCUAUCAUAGACCUGCAAAGGACCUUCAAACGAUUGGGCAUGAGCGGGAUAAUUGAUUAGAAUAAUAAGUUGAUAACUUCUCGGAGCUAUACCCCAGUAGGACUCGUGGCGCCCCGUCUCCUCGGGGGUGAAAUCGUGUCGGUAACGUGGAGAAACUGGCGUCAGUCAAACCCCCAGAACUGAGCCUCUACUUUGG